UGCAGUCGUACGCUAGCCGUUAACCUGAUCUCUUCGGAGUGACGGCUGACAAUGACUAGAGUGGCGAACGGGUGAGUAACACGUAAGAAACCUGCCCUUUAGUGGGGGAUAACAUUUGGAAACAGAUGCUAAUACCGCGUAACAACUUUGAACUCAUGUUCUUAGUUUAAAAGGUCCUUUUGGAUCGCUAAAGGAUGGUCUUGCGGCGUAUUAGCUAGUUGGUAGGGUAAUGGCCUACCAAGGCCAUGAUGCGUAGCCGAGUUGAGAGACUGGCCGGCCACAUUGGGACUGAGACACUGCCCAAACUCCUACGGGAGGCUGCAGUAGGGAAUUUUCCGCAAUGCACGAAAGUGUGACGGAGCGACGCCGCGUGUGUGAUGAAGGCUUUCGGGUCGUAAAGCACUGUUGUAAGGGAAGAAUGACCGGAUUCAGAGAAAGUUUCCGGCUUGACGGUACCUUACCAGAAAGGGAUGGCUAAAUACGUGCCAGCAGCCGCGGUAAUACGUAUGUCCCGAGCGUUAUCCGGAUUUAUUGGGCGUAAAGCGAGUGCAGACGGUUGAUUAAGUCUGAUGUGAAAUCCCGGAGCCUAACUCCGGAACUGCAUUGGAAACUGGUUUACUUGAGUGCCAUAGAAGCAAGUGGAACUCCAUGUGUAGCGGUGAAAUGCGUAGAUAUGUUGGAAGAACACCAGUGGCCGAAGGCGGCUUGCUAGAUCGUAACUGACAUUGAGGCUCGAAAGUAUGGGUAG
rnacentral:rRNA from 1 species